AGGACGCUGAAGAUAAAAGGCACUCAUUUCCUUCAGCUUCACAGAUUGGAAGUGUCAGGGGGAAACUCCCCAGGUCAUGGACUGGCUUCACAGUAAAGCCCCAAAUAAUACCUUAUUCCUGGAUCAGAAGAAUGUUAUUGGCUCCUCCAAGCAAGAUGGUCACUGGGGAAUAUCAGUGUCUGGAGUCCCCUCAUGUUCUCAUAAAUGUAGAAGACACAGUGGGAUGAGCUGGCUUUGGAGUGAGAUCUGAGGGAGCUACCCAAAAAAUGUGAACCUCACCAGCUAGUAGAGAAGAGCAUCACUAACCAAUAAAGUUGAUCAGGCUGCUCUUGAAUGAAUUUGUAUUCUUCCUGCCUCAGCUUUCCAGAGUGCUGGGAUUAUAGGCAUGUGCCACCAUUUCCAGCUCAAUAAUCUAAUUUAAAAAACUG